GUCCGGAUGGCGCAGUGGUCAGCGCAUCUGCCUAGUAAGCGCGAGACCCUGGUUCGAUUCCAGGUGUGGCACA